rnacentral:rRNA from 1 species
UACAGAGGGGGCAAGCGUUAUUCGGAAUUAUUGGGCGUAAAGGGCGCGUAGGCGGCCCUGUUAGUCAGGCGUGAAAGUCCUGGGCUCAACCUGGGAACUGCGCUUGAUACGGCAGAGCUAGAGGAUGGAAGAGGGUCGCGGAAUUCCCAGUGUAGAGGUGAAAUUCGUAGAUAUUGGGAAGAACACCGGUGGCGAAGGCGGCGACCUGGUCCAUUACUGACGCUGAGGCGCGACAGCGUGGGGAGCAAACAGG